GAUCCAGGAAGAUCAUGGGUUCGAAUACUAACUCUUACGGCAGAGAAGAUUAGCAUGGCCCCUGCACAAGGAUGACACGCUUUAUCAAAGAGUUGCAAACCAUUUUU
rfam:Stachybotrys chlorohalonata IBT 40285 unplaced genomic scaffold scaffold1040, whole genome shotgun sequence.